rnacentral:rRNA from 1 species
UUUUAUUUGAGAGUUUGAUCCUGGCUCAGGAUGAACGCUGGCGGCGUGCCUAACACAUGCAAGUUGAGCGAUUUACUUCGGUAAAGAGCGGCGGACGGGUGAGUAACGCGUGGGUAACCUACCCUGUACACACGGAUAACAUACCGAAAGGUAUGCUAAUACGGGAUAAUAUAUUUGAGAGGCAUCUCUUGAAUAUCAAAGGUGAGCCAGUACAGGAUGGACCCGCGUCUGAUUAGCUAGUUGGUAAGGUAACGGCUUACCAAGGCGACGAUCAGUAGCCGACCUGAGAGGGUGAUCGGCCACAUUGG